CUCUGUUACAAGCCCUGUAAACGGGGUCUAAUACCGCAUACCACUCCUGCCUGCAUGGGGGGGGGUUGAAAGCUCCGGCGGUGAUGGAUGAGCCCGUGACCUAUCGUCUUGUUGGUGGGGUAAUGGCCUAACAAGGCGACAACGGGAAGCCGGCCUGAUGGGGCGACCGGACGAACUGGGACUGAGACACUGACCAAACUCCUACAGUAGGAAGCAAUGGGGAAUAUUGGACAAUGGGCCAAAGCCUGAUGCAGCGACGCCGCGUGAGGGAUGACGGCAUUAAGGUUGUAAACCUCUUUAGCCCUUUUGUAAGCGAAAGUGACGGUUCCUGUAAAACAAGCGCCGGCUAACUACGUGCCAGCAAUCGCGGUAAUACAUAUGGCGCAAGCGUUGUCCGGAAUUAUUGGGGGUAAAGAGCUCGCUCGCGGUUUGUCACGUCGGAUGUGAAAGCCCUGGCUUAACCUCCUGUCUGCAUUCCAUACGGGCUAGCUUGGUGUUGCAGGGGAUACUGGAAUUCCUGGUGUGUGGGUGAAAUGCGCAGAAUUCAUGAUGAACACCGGUGAUGAAUGCAGAUCUCUGGAACAUUACUGACGCUGAGGAGCUACAAGCGUGCAACACCGAACAGUGAUUACAUACCCCUGGUAGUCCGCACACGUAAACUUUGUACAACUAGGUGUCGGCGACAUUCCACAGUCGUCCUGCUGUUGCUUACAAUUAACUUCCCCGCCUGGGAGAGUACGGCCUAAGUUCUACACUUAAG
rnacentral:rRNA from 1 species